GAACGUUCCAGUGCUGAAACAAAACUACAAUAAACAAACAACAUCCACAGUCUUUAAAACGGAAAAAUAAGCAUGCAAAAUUCAACUGUAACAGUGAGUGGCUUCGGGAGCCGGGAGAAAUGCAUCCAAAAAGCAGAAAGCUGAGAGAGAGAAACUGGUGUGAGGACUCGUGCGCGUAUGCUGAACAUUGUGAGAGAGCUGCGACCAACUGUCUUUAUUUGUAUGAAUGUUUGUGGAAGCGCAGGUUUUGUUUUGAACUUUGUCAGAGAGUAAAUAAAUGCGUAAGCAAGUAAAGCCGA